rnacentral:rRNA from 1 species
GCAAUAUGAAGGUCAGGCUGAAGACCUUACCCGAUUAGCUGAGAGGUGGUGCAUGGCCGUCGUCAGUUCGUACUGUGAAGCAUCCUGUUAAGUCAGGCAACGAGCGAGACCCACGUCCACAGUUGCCAGCAUACCCUCCGGGGUGAUGGGUACACUGUGGAGACCGCCGCUGCUAAAGCGGAGGAAGGAGUGGGCAACGGUAGGUCAGUAUGCCCCGAAUCUCCCGGGCUACACGCGGGCUACAAUGGUUGGUACAAUGGGCAUCUACCCCGAAAGGGGAAGGAAAUCUCUUAAAGCCAAUCGUAGUUCGGAUUGAGGGCUGCAACUCGCCCUCAUGAAGCUGGAAUCCGUAGUAAUCGCGUUUCGACAGAACGCGGUGAAUACGUCCCUGCUCCUU